GUGGGGAAUAUUGGACAAUGGGGGGAACCCUGAUCCAGCCAUGCCGCGUGUGUGAAGAAGGCCUUUUGGUUGUAAAGCACUUUAAGCGAGGAGGAGGCUACCGAGAUUAAUACUCUUGGAUAGUGGACGUUACUCGCAGAAUAAGCACCGGCUAACUCCGUGCCAGCAGCCGCGGUAAUACAGAGGGUGCAAGCGUUAAUCGGAUUUACUGGGCGUAAAGCGCGCGUAGGUGGCCAAUUAAGUCAAAUGUGAAAUCCCCGAGCUUAACUUGGGAAUUGCAUUCGAUACUGGUUGGCUAGAGUAUGGGAGAGGAUGGUAGAAUUCCAGGUGUAGCGGUGAAAUGCGUAGAGAUCUGGAGGAAUACCGAUGGCGAAGGCAGCCAUCUGGCCUAAUACUGACACUGAGGUGCGAAAGCAUGGGGAGCAAACAGGAUUAGAUACCCGUGUAGUCC
rnacentral:rRNA from 1 species